GGGGCUGUAGCUCAGCUGGGAGAGCGAUACGUUCGCAACGUAUAGGUCGUCGGUUCGAUCCCGAUCAGCUCCACCA
rnacentral:tRNA from 1 species